UGGACUACAUAUAAGAACAUCUCAACCUUCAGAGCAACAAAAACCUCCUCCAUCAUCUGCAAGACAGUCGGCUGAAGUUGUGAAGACUUGAAGAAGAGAUCACUGUAAUCAUGCUGAAAGAAGUAUUGGUGCUGGGAUGCCUCCUGAGCGUCGUUCUGGCUCAGCCUUGGGACAUGGAGCACAAACGACUUGCUCGGUCUGACUCCGGUUCUAACUCUAACUCAAAUUCCAAUGAGGUUUCCACACCAGUAGUCAACCAGCUUUUUCAGCAACAGUUGCUCCAGCUCCUUCUGAACCUCCUCAGCCAACGAUUUACCACUCCUGCCACCACUCCUGCAACAACCACAACUGCAGCUAC